GAUGAACGCUGGCGAUAGGCUUAACACAUGCAAGUCGAGGGGCAUCGGGGUGUAGCAAUACACUGCCGGCGACCGGCGCACGGGUGAGUAACAGGUAUGCAACCUGCCUUUAAGCGAGGGAUAACCCGGAGAAAUCCGGACUAAUACCUCAUGAGGCGUAUAAACCGCAUGGUUUAUGCGUCAAAGAUUUAUUGCUUAAAGAUGGGCAUGCUUUUCAUUAGCUUGUUGGCGGGGUAACGGCCCACCAAGGCAACGAUGAAUAGGGGCACUGAGAGGUUUGUCCCCCACACCGGUACUGAGACACGGACCGGACUCCUACGGGAGGCAGCAGUGAGGAAUAUUGGUCAAUGGGCGAGAGCCUGAACCAGCCAAAUCGCGUGAAGGAAGACGGUAUUAUGUAUUGUAAACUUCUUUUAUAUAAGAAUAAAAAAGGUUAUGUAUAACCUGUUGAAAGUAUUAUAUGAAUAAGGAUCGGCUAACUCCGUGCCAGCAGCCGCGGUAAUACGGAGGAUCCGAGCGUUAUCCGGAUUUAUUGGGUUUAAAGGGUGCGUAGGCGGGAUUAUAAGUCGGCGGUGAAAGUUUGCAGCUUAACUGUAAAAUAGCCGUUGAAACUGUAGUUCUUGAGAGUAUCAGAGGUAGGCGGAAUGCGCGGUGUAGCGGUGAAAUGCAUAGAUAUCGCGCAGAACCCCGAUUGCGAAGGCAGCUUACCGGAGUACAUCUGACGCUGAAGCACGAAAGCGUGGGUGUCAAACAGGAUUAGAUACCCUGGUAGUCCACGCCGUAAACCAUGAUUACUAGUUGUUUGCGAUAUACUGUAAGUGACACAGCGAAAGCGUUAAGUAAUCCACCUGGGGAGUACGCCGGCAACGGUGAAACUCAAAGGAAUUGACGGGGGCCCGCACAAGCGGAGGAACAUGUGGUUUAAUUCGAUGAUACGCGAGGAACCUUACCCGGGCUCGAACGGCAUAUGAAUGCGGUUGAAAGAUCGCAGCUGUCAAUAGCAUAUGUCGAGGUGCUGCAUGGUUGUCGUCAGCUCGUGCCGUGAGGUGUCGGCUUAAGUGCCAUAACGAGCGCAACCCUUACCGACAGUUACCAUCGGGUCAAGCCGGGGACUCUGUCGGAACUGCCGCCGUAAGGUGAGAGGAAGGUGGGGAUGACGUCAAAUCAGCACGGCCCUUACGUCCGGGGCGACACACGUGUUACAAUGGACGGUACAGAGGGCAGCUACACGGCGACGUGAUGCUAAUCUCCUAAAGCCGUUCUCAGUUCGGAUCGGAGUCUGCAACCCGACUCCGUGAAGCUGGAUUCGCUAGUAAUCGCGCAUCAGCCAUGGCGCGGUGAAUACGUUCCCGGGCCU
rnacentral:rRNA from 1 species